rnacentral:lncRNA from 10 species
GGGGUCAGGGCAUGGAUGGCCUGGUACCAUGUACUAGAGGAAUUUGAACUUUAUCUUGUAGGUAGUAGAGAACCAGUGAAGGCCUUUAGGCAGGAUAAUAACAUCACUUCAUUUUACUGGUUUAUAAGCAAUGGAUUAAUGACGGAGCUAGAAGUAGACUGUUACAUACUCCAUAUAAGCAAAGUCAAGAUCCUGAACUAAGAACGUAGCAAUCAAGAUGAAGAGGAGGAAGACAGAUUAGAGAAGUGCUAGAAUCUGUAGGGCUUCCUAAUCAAUUGUAGAGGGAGCUAUGGUGAGAGGUAUGAGUAAGGAGAGAAGUCACAAUCUGAGAUAUAUUCAAGAGCCAGGCAAGUGUAUAUAAAUGAAUGAAAGGAGCUUCAGCAUCCUUUAUGGUCACUGUGAAGACUACAUGAACCAGGAGCUCAUCUGCUGCUCAUCUCCAGCCAGUUGUUCCAUGCAGGGAAGUGAUGGUGUGUGACUUGUGACACUAGAUCCGAAAAGACACGGUGAUGUCUGACUUGUUCUCUUGGAUGUCUCUCCCUGAGUGAAGCCAGCUACUUUUCAUGAGGAUACUCAAGCAUUCCUAUGGAGAGAUCCACAUGGUGAGAAACUGAAGCCUCCUACCAAGAGCCAGCACCAACUUGCCAGCUAUGUGAAUGAGCCAUCUUAGAAGUGGGUUCUCUAGCCCUAGUCAGGCCUUCAUAUGACUGCAGCCAGGGCUGAUAUUUUGACUACAACCUCAUGAGAGACUGAGCCACAACAACCUAGCUAAGAAGCUCCUGAAUUCCCUACCAACAGAAACUAUGUGAGAUAAUGUUUGUUGUUUUAACUAAGUUUUCAAGUGGUAAUUUGUUAUACAGAAUAUGUAACUAAUAAAGCAUGGCUCCUUUAGGUCUAAAUGUUGUCUUUUGCUUACAUGAUACCCCAGAAGCACAGGAAUCCUGCUGUUUCAUGAAGCACUUGAGUAUGGAAAUUCUUGUGAGGUUGCCUCUGUCCCUGUUUGCCCCAACACACCAUGUAGUUAUUCCUUCACUGGACUUGCACCUUUCUACCAGUCUCUGCUCAGGAAGCAAAGCCUAAGUUUCCUCUUUUCCUAGAAAUACAGACCUAUUUGUAGACCUCCUGUUCUUCAUCUUCAGCCUGCAGAUAUUUUGUUUUUAUCUUGGGGAAAUUCUCCUCAUUUUUGGCCAUGAUACUUUGUACUUGAAUCUUCUCAACCUCUCCAGGACUUUCGGAAAUAAAAGGCAGAAAACUUACAAGCUUGUCUUCUUUCUACCAUGUUGUAAUGCCUCCCCUGAGACAGUGAACAAAAGGCUAGCUCUUUGAAUUUUGUGAGAUGUAGAAAGAAAGGGGAAAAUGAAGGGAGAAAAAAUGUGAAUAUCUCAAAAUACCAUCCUACCAGAAUUAUCAAUAUGUGAUGAGUGCUUACUGUGUGCCAGAUACUAUACCAAAUGCUUUACAUAUUUUUUCUCAUUAAGUACUAUUAUCAAGCUUAUUUUACAAACAAGAUGAUCAGAUUUAGAGAGAUUAAGUAAGUUGCCUGAAGUUUCACUGUUUCUAGAUGGUAAUGCUGAAAUUCUACCAGGAAUCUCUGACUCCCAGCUCCAACUUUUGACCAUUAGCAUGCAAGUUCUUUCCAUGUGGUUGGGGAGGGAAGAAGGUUGGUCUAAGGGUGCUUUCCUUUGGCUUCAUUUCUUCACAUAAAUGAGGAUGCCAAUCAUACCUAAGACUUGUCUGUCAUUAAUACAUUUCUGACAGUGGCUUCCACUUGGCAACACUUUGUAGGCGAGUGGACCUACUCUGUACACUUGAAAUGUUGAAAACUGCACUUCUUCUAAAAUACUGUUUGGAUCAAUCAUUUCAUUUAGUUAAGCAGGCCAUCUGUCUAUCCAGCAUGUUUUCCAAGUGCCUGUGCGUAGGUACCACGUAAAAUGCUGGGGACAUCAAGAUGAAUUCAACACUCACCAUGAGCUAUGUGUGUGGUGUUUAGAUGAAACAGACAUAAAAGCUAAUUACAGCAGUGAGAUAAGUUGUAUAUCUAAACAGCAUAUGAAUAUGUGUUCUGGAAUGCAGAAGAAAAGUACUAAUUUCAGCUUAGGUAUAUCAAGGAAAACUUCUCAGAGGUAAUAAGCCUUCAAGAAUGAGUAGAAAUUCACCAGUAGGACAUUCUGGACAGAGGAAGAGGCAUGGGCAAAAAUGCUUGGCAAUUUCAGAGAGGAGCACACAACUGAGAAUAAUUGGAGAGGAUGAUGUAUGUUUAUAGGAGCCAGAUAAUGAAGAUACUUGUUCUACUAUGCUAACAAGUUAAAAUAAUUAAAACUCUCACCCCACAGGAGGAAUCUUGCCCACAAAUAUUCUUUGUUUGAUGUAGGUUUUUUUUUCUUGAAUUUGAAUGUCUUUAAAAAGACGUACAUUCUCUAGUCUUCUGUCUCCUCAGGCUCACCCCUCCAUAUUUAGGUUACCUAGCUAUCCCUGCAGACAUUUGAGCUUACUCCCCCUGCUGCAGCAAUGGGGAGUCACGGAAGAUUAUCUUUGUUUAUAGGAGCCAGAUAAUGAAGAUACUUGUUCUACUAUGCUAACAAGUUAAAAUAAUUAAAACUCUCACCCCACAGGAGGAAUCUUGCCCACAAAUAUUCUUUGUUUGAUGUAGGUUUUUUUUUCUUGAAUUUGAAUGUCUUUAAAAAGACGUACAUUCUCUAGUCUUCUGUCUCCUCAGGCUCACCCCUCCAUAUUUAGGUUACCUAGCUAUCCCUGCAGACAUUUGAGCUUACUCCCCCUGCUGCAGCAAUGGGGAGUCAUGGAAGAUUAUCUUAAGGUGGAGUUAACAUGAACGUAUUUGCUCUUUCAGAGACCAUUCUGGCUUACUGUGGAGGAUAAAUGGUGAGGCCAAUUGGGAAGGGAUGGUACAAGAUAUAGAAAUGUCUUAGCUCGGGCUGCCUUAACCAAAUGCCAUAGCCUGGGUGGCUUAAACUCAGACAUUUAUUUUUCAUUAUUCUGGAAGCUGGAAAGUCCAAGAUCAAGGCACAAGCAGAUUCAAUUCUUGGUGAGGGCUUUCUUCCUGGCUUGUAGAUGGCCACCUUCUUACUGUAUCCUUAAAGAGAGAAGGAGCUCUGGUUUCCCUUCCUCUUCUUAUAAGGGCACUAAUCCUAUCAUGGGGCCUCCACCCUCAUGACUUCAUCUAAACCUAAUUACUUGCCAAAGGCCCCACCUCCUCAUACCAUCACAAUGGGGGUUGGAGUUUCAGCAUAUGAAUUUUGAGGGGAAUACAAACAUUCAAGCUAUAAAAAGCGACUUACUGGGUGAAGAGGCUGAGAGGGAGGACUCAUGAUUCUCAGUUUCCCACUGAAUGAACGGUGGUUCCAUUAACUCCAAAUGGAUAGCACAAGAGGUUUUAUUCUAUAUGUUUAUAUGAAGUUGUAAAAUUUCUUAGGAAGGAUUGUGGAGCAAUUGCUAAAAUCCACUUAAUGUCUAUUGGAAGUACCUAGAUGAAGUUCACCAGGAGACCUUUCAAAAGUGUCUCAAAUGUUCCUAUAAAUAUUGUGACAUAUUUAUGUCAUAAAUCAGGAUACAUGGUAGGACAUGUUGGGCAUUAAUAACAGACAUAAUAUUUAAAAUGGGAACUGUUCUGAAAAAUCAGGAGUGUAUGGUCACUGGAUAUAAAAAUUACUUUGUUGUCUCAUCUAGGUUCUCUUUUAUCAAAGGUCCCUCUGAAUAAAAAUACUAUCGUUAGAAUGUACAUGUUUAAAUAAACACGUCUCAAGUACAGCUAAUCGAUCUAUGGGUAUUUCCUCAUUUUCAUCUUCAAUAAUAAUUUCAAACUCCCUACCAUACUUUUCUACAGAGCUAUUAAUAGGAAGCUUCCAUCAGCUAACUUGAGUUUCCUCUCAUUUUCCCAGCUGACAUUCACUGGAGGUAUUAAUGGGAAAUAUAAUGUCUAAAAGACAUAGGUAGUCUUCAAAUUGGAUACUCAGGCACUGAAUAAUCUUAACUUCAUGAAAAUCAGCUCUUCAUUCUGUAAAGUAUCUAGCACACUCAAAAUGUAGAGUACAUAUAGGAGGGAAAACCAUAGCGUGGCAAUGUCUUCCUGUUAUUCCAUACAUAUUAGUGUGUUCUAUUUUUCACAAUGCUUGCUAAACUGGUUUUAUGCUUGAAAUAAUUGUCACAGAGUUUCACAAAACUUUGGAAACACAAUUAACCCACCAAUAAAUUGAGUGGGAUACUAUGGAGAAUGCAAAGAUGUAUAAGACAUGAUUUCCUUUAGGUGUUUAAUACUUAAUAGAGGAAAUAAGACACAUUCAUGAAAAAGAUAAUAACAUAAGCUACUAUGUGAUGUCAAACAAUAGUUCUUUUUUUCAUAUCUAUGAAUUCAUUAGAGACGAGAAAAAAAUUUCACAAAAAGUUGGCAUUUACAAUGUAAUGAAAGAAGCAUGACCUCUAAAAUACAA